rnacentral:tRNA from 1 species
GGUCGGAUAGCAUAAAUGGUAAUGCGUUGAACUGCAAAUUCAAUAGAUGACAGUUCAAUUCUGUCUCCAACCU